rnacentral:rRNA from 1 species
UACGGGGGGGGUAAGCGUUGUUCGGAAUUACUGGGCGUAAAGGGCUCGUAGGCGGCCAACUAAGUCAUACGUGAAGUCCCUCAGCUUAACUGGGGAACUGCGUGUGAUACUGGUUGACUUGAGUUGGGGAGGGGGAAGUGGAAUUCCGGGUGUAGCGGUGAAAUGCGUAGAUAUCCGGAGGAACACCGAUGGCGAAGGCAGCUUCCUGGCCCACAACUGACGCUGAGGUGCGAAAGCGUGGGGAGCGAACGGG